UCCUGGGCUGUGGCAGGUCAGGCCGCCAGGCAGAGCCUCCGUUCCUGAGCAGAGCUGGGGGCUCUGCUAGGAGAUCCUGCCCUCAGCCCUCCUGACUGACGUGUGGCGCAUCCCAGGCCUUCCCCAAGGAGGCCCCGGCCAUGUUCCACUCACAGCAGAAAGUCAAAGGUGGUGUCAAUCUUCCAGCUCCUGGGGUUGGUUCCUGGAACCUCACACUCCCAGGACCUGGUGCGGCUCUGUGGACAAGCUUCCAGCAGGGCCUGGCUGCCGUCUCCACAGCAAGCUGGGUGGAACGUCCUGCUGGUGACCCCUUGGUGCACGGGGUGGACUUUCUCUGGGAUGUGCAUCCAGGAAGAGAAGCGCUGGGCCAAAGGGCACGUGAAGCUUGAACUGUCCAGUGUGGAUGCGCCCUGGGGCGCACACACCCUUGGGGAGCUGGCCGUCACCUCCCCUGUCCUUGUAGCAGGUCUUGCCUAGGGGCACGAAUGAAAUCUCACACGGUUGCCAUUCGUCAUUUCCUGUCCCUCAGGUGUUCCGUCGGCUUUGGAAUCUGAGUGGGAAGGGACAGAGAUGGGCAGGCUGGAGCAGGUCAUCAGUGAGGACCUGGAGAGGCCUCAGACCCGCUGCCCGGAGGCCCUGGGACUGGCAGAAAGGCCCAGGCUAGCGCAGGCCAGCCCUGGUCUAGGUGUAGCCCAGAUUCAGGUUCCUGCUCUGAGCAGCGGUGGGAGUGGCAGCUGUGACCCGUGAGAGAGACCCCAGGGCCUGGGGGCUUGUCUUCACUCCCACUGCCUCAGCUUUAAGCACACAACCUUUCUGGCUUCAGAACCCCAUCUUCCAACACAGCUCAUUUCUGAAUCCCUGGAGCCCCUCCUUCCUGGCCAGCCAGACACUUUUUGGACCAAUGAAUGAGCAAAUGACCCAUGAAUGCAUGAAUGAAUGAAUGAAAAACAGACUAGCUGGAGAAGACUUCACUUGGGAGGCAAGAUGUCCACUGACUUAGGGAUGUUAAAUCACCUCCAGCCAACUGCUUAAGGUAAUGGGUUCCAACAGGUCUUUGGGCGAGUGGGGGUCUGAGGUCCCCCUGGGUGAGCCCUCCACCCUCAUCAGAGCCAGGCCUGGCCAGGGGACACAGGGCUGGGGCUCCGGCUUCCCGUCCUCUCAGGCACCCUUGCUUCAAGCAGGCCAGGUGCCACCCCUCACCUGUCAACUCCUGUGACCUGUGGAAUGUACGGCCAGGCCCAGCAGCUUGGUGGGCAGGGGAGAGAGAGCAGAGUGGCAGGCCCCAGGCCGGGGUCAAGGAUGGCAAUGCAGUCGGGUGUCGGUGGUCUCCAGGGAGGUGACAAUGGCCUCUGAGUGAUCUGAGAGGAGCCACCCAGAAUGAGGUCCACCUUGCUGACCAAGCCCUGCAAAGGGGAGGAGGGGCCAGAAAUAUGCCCACGGAGACCAGGAAGGGGCAACUGCUACCGGCCUGGGGGCCUCUACCCGCUCACCUGCUGACAGGCCCUCCUGCGUACAUGGCCCGACCCUGGAGAGAGGAAGGUGAGUGACACUGGAGCCCUCGGGCUGGCUUUUCGGGGCCAGUGCUUGGGGCCAGGAGCCGCCUAUGGGAUUCCUUGGCGGUGUCUUGCGGCCUCUCCAGGAAAGGACACCACUGGGGGAGGGCACUGCCACUUGUCCCAGGCCUGCCUCCUGGGAACACGGCCCCGAGCCCUCUCCCCACGCAGCCCCUGGCAGUGUGGGCGGGGGCCGGUGUGCCUGGUGAGCUGGAGUGUGACUCAGCCGGAGGUGCAUGCCAAUGAGUGGCGGAACGUUGCCUGCCAGAUUAAAUUAGGUGCCUCAGAAUUAAAACUACAUAUUUAUUUUAACCGGUCGAGGUGUUCGGAGGGAGAUGAAAGGGAGGGGAGAUGAAAUAUUACAAACUAGAUGAUUAAGACUGCAGAGAGGUGCGUGUGCUGGGAUGGGAGCCGGGAGGGUGAAUUGUGAAUCCCCCUCUCGUGCCAGUUUAGAGUGAGAAAAGGGAGUUUGACACAAAGAGGAAAAAAAUAAACAGGAAACCAACACCCAGCCCAGCCAUCCGAGAGGGUGCGUUAGUGCUCAUUCUGGGAAGGGGAGCGGCG
ensembl:lncRNA